rnacentral:lncRNA from 1 species
CGGGUGGAGCCUCCCGUCGCGCGAAGCGCCGGAGGAGGUGGGUGUUGGGGCGGUGCUGAGGGCCUGGGCAGCCCCGGGGUGGGGGCUGUGGCGGUAGAGGGCGGCUGCGGGGCCGCUGUGCUGCGGGUUGUGAAGUAUUAAUCCGCGGAGGUUGCUCUUAAAGCUUCCAGCUGGCUCUUGAAGCAGUUGGUUGUCAGCGGAGCGGCUGGAACGAGAGUUGCAAGCCCGGAGGAGGCCGCCGGAGCCGGCUGUGAAGCCCCGGUGUUUGUGUCGGUUACAGUGUGGUUGAGGUGGCUUCCCAACAUCCUGCAGCCUGAGCGCAGAGGUCUGUGCUUUGCUGCGUCUGCGUGCCUCACAGCAGUGCGUUUGGAAGCGGCAGGCUGUGGGUGGGGGCAGCUGUGUUUCCCUCGGGCAGCGCUGCGCGGUGCUGGGAGCCGCUGCUGCGGGCUGAGCCUCUCCGGCGCUCCUACCGCGCCGUGCCCGCGCAGCGGCGGCUCAGGGCGCUGGGGCCCGGCGGGGGUUGCUUGGAGCCAAACGUGCAGCCACCAGCUGUGUCUUCUUGCCGUUUGUUUUGACAAGGUGAAGUGGUUCGUGUGGCAGGGAGGAUUACCAGUCCCCUCACUGACAACGGGAGUAAACAGCUUAUAAAUAAUGAGGAUGCGCUCACGGUCAUUAGCCGGGCGUGUUGGUAAUAGUUCUCGUGGAGCCAUGUGACUGGAUUUCUAUCACAUGUGGGGAGGAAAGGGAGGAGGAGGUGAAUUGCUACUUAUUUUUUUUUCUAUUUUGUCUGCUAGGAUAUAAAACAGUUCAAGGGAAGCUCAGAAGGCUGUGUGUUAUUCAAAGUGCUGCUCUUAGUGCUGCUGAUGAAGCAGGAAUCCUGCAGGCCUCUGCUUUUCUCAGUGACCUGAAGUGGAGGAGAGGAGAAGCCAGUGCCAGUCCCCAAGGCAGUGAGCUGCAUAUGUGAGCGGGGCAUCUUGCACUUGGACCUCAGCAUCAGGAGAAUCCUGCUCCAUUCUCUGAAAGGACACAGCGAAUAGAGAGCUUACAGUUCCAAGAAGUGUCAGAGCGAAGCAAGGAGAAACUGGGAGAAGGUACUGAAGCUGUUUGCUGAAUAAAUGUUCUUCUCUUAGUUUCAUUUGGCCUCUCCUGUGGAUGAAUGCUGUUGUUCAGAACAGAAAACUUGGAGUAACUGUUGGAUCAAACAGCUUGCUGUGAUGUGAACUUUCCAGCAGAUAUUUACAGAGGGGAGUGAUCAGUAGUCCAAGAACAGAGUGCUGCUUGGCACUAGAGAAGAACAGCCUCUUUCCACUUCUGAUUCUGCUGGAAGUGCAAAUGAGCACGUGUGGCGUCCGUCUCAAUUUGUUUGGGUGCUCGAAGAAAAAUCCAGUCUGAGGAAGCCUCUGGGAAUAGACAGGUGAGAAAUCUGCCAGCCAGAAUUUGGCAAUCUUUUAAUACAAUAAGUAUAACCAGCUUCUGGGUGUUGUUAACUUUAAUUUGUCCAAGUUUUAAAGCCUUCAUUAAGUUUGAAACGUAUUCCUCAAUUCUCUUUGCAAGCAAAAUGAAAUGAAAUAUUUCUUUAUUUCUGUACUUGUGCAUAGCAGGUGUUUGCAAAAUGCUAAUAGUCAGCAGGAUUUCCUAAUUUUCAAGAUGCUUCUUGUUCAGUUGUGCUCUUAGCCAAAUGGGUCUCCUGACCUGGCAGGUGGGGUGGCUGUGGGACUGGGCUGCCAGAACUGGUGUGUGGAGGGCAGCAGGGGUGUGUGGCUGGAGUAGCUCACCUCACUUCUGACUCCAUUAGUUCCCAGAAGAACUUGAAAAAGCACAGGAUUUUUGGUUGGUUUGUUUUUAAAAUACCAUUUAAACAAUAGCUCUAUAAAAUAGAGAAUUGUUUUUAGUUGCAGUACAACAGCCUAAUCGAUAUCUUGCCUGCCACAACUUGAGCCUUGCUGAAGUGUCCCUUUCUAAGAAAGUUUUCUGCCCUCUGCCAUGGUGAUAGGUAUACAGUUCUUUGGUUUAAGACCUAGUAAUUGGUUGCUCUAAUAUGUCUGAGUUUUGGAUUUGUCUCUUUUAGAUGUUUUUUGUUUUUGGUGUGGUGGUGUGGAUUUUUUUGGCUUUUUUUCUUGGCUUUUUUUUUUCUUCCUAUCUCUGGGAUUUUGUGGACAACUGCUGUUCUCCAAAAACUGAAAUGGACUGGGAGGAACACCUAAUCACAAGUAUUAGAUUGCACCUUCUCAACCCUCCAUGUACAGUAUACAUUUGAAAACAUAAUGGCUGAGUUCAUUCAGUCUUUCUGUGGAUCUUAAAUCAUGAUCUUAAGCUACCAGAAACUAGAAUUUAGAAAAGCACCACAGGCCCUGAAAUAUCAAAACUCAAUUCUCUUUCUUCCUGUUAGGUUUUUAGGAGGUUGUUGGAAAGCUGUACUAUGCAGACAUGCUUUUAUUUUCUCAUGUUUCUCCCCUUUUACAACGGAACUUAUUCUUUCUGUUGCCAUAUGAUUUUGUUGGCUUGAUUGCAUUUCAGAACUGGGGCUGUGCAAUUACUGGCUAGAGCUGUGAGGCAAGAUUUUCUUUUCAUCUAAAUAUUUUCCUUCCACAGCUCUCCAGCACUGCUUGUCUCUUUGAGAUUUGAUCCAGUUCUGCUGCGUGGGAAAGAGGGGUUUGUUCAAAAAACAAGCUACAAAACCAGUCAUCAAAUAAGAAAUGUAGCAGCAACACCCAGUAUUUUGGGAAUAUUCUGGCUGUGAAACAGUAAUGUCAGUGAUAUGUUAUUCCUUUAGCUUUAGAUCUGUUGGCAAGGUAGAAAGCUGGUGGUGUGAUUGUUCUGUUACGCUGUAAAAUCAGGAAUGAUGGUGGCAUUCUUCUCUCUAGUCUGGGGGUGUUCAUCAGCUCUGUGGGUUCUCAAGGCUCAUCUUUUGCUUCUGUACUUCUGUCCUACAGCUGUUUUACCCUGUGUGUGGGACUCCCCAGCACCUGUAUUGUUUUCUUCCUUCUGCUGUGUUGCAUUAUUCUUCUUGCUCCAUCCAUGGUACAAGAGUUAUAUGGAAGGUAACACCAGCAGUGUCCCCAGUGGGUUAAAAUGAUGAAAGACAGCAAAACUUCUAUCAUCCAGAUCCAAUAAUCUUUAGCAUGUUUAUGUAGGGAUAUGGUGAAUCCAUGGGAUAUGAUGAAUACCCAGUGUACCUAGACCUUUCCUUUCCUGUCCUUUGUGAAUAGCUUUGUGAACAGCUUUGUUCUGCAUGAGCUGAAGUGAAUGAAGUCUGACAAUGUGAGGUGCCCCUGUAAAGGAGCUGCCUGCCACUUAGGCUGUGCUUGAGGACUGCAUUCCACACCAAGUGCAUAAGGAACAAAGAACUGAGGCUGGCUGAUACUGCCAUCAUGCUGUUCCUAAACUGAUCCAGCUGGUUUGUCCAGGAGCCGGAAUUCAGGUCUUAGUGCCUGAGUGCAGAAUUUGACAUUGGAUGCCUGAGUAUUUAUAUAUGUUUCCCAUCAUGUUUCUAAUUAUUCAUGCUGAAAUAACUGAGCUUUUUGAUUAUGCAGCAUAGCUUCCCGUGCACUUGUUUCUGAGGCACAGCAAGCCAUGGUUUAGGAAGAUCAUUUUCUGAAUAAGUCCCUUGAGAAUGGAAGUACAUGGAAAACAUCCAUUUCCUAAACAUAGUUUGGACAGCAUUCAUUGGCAAAGCAAGUGAGGGAGCUUCCCCAGGACCCUGGCAUGCACACUGCAUGAUACAGACUAGACACAGCAGUUGGUGUAACUGUGGAUAGAUAGAUGGAUAGUUAAUAUGAGCAGCAAUAAAGCAGAUGAUUUAGUCUUCUGCAGGGUUGUAUGCCCAUUAUUGUUAAGCUACCAGAGUUUUAGUCCUUGCCUUUUGAGGGAAAACACUUGGAUGCUGUGAAGUGGCAUGCAGAUAGCUUAUUUCAGGGCUUGUGAUGCUGGCAGUAUUCUGUAGUUGUUUUUCUGUAUAGCUGUCUUGCAAGGUGGUGUAUAUGAUGCCUGUCUCUGCAUGCUUAGAGUGAAGCCAUCAAGGAUUUCCUCGACAGUGAUGAGUGUGUCUUGUUGAGGAGUUGAUGAGACUGCCUGCAGGGAAAAUGGCUUUUACAGCACUCUGUUCUUACCUGAGAAGAAGAAAGUGGGUGUACUGUAGGGCAAAAUCUGUAGUUCUCCAGCAUAGAGCAAUCUGCUGUGGAAGCUGCCUAUGUCUCUAUGUAGCUCCCAUUGAAUUGAAAUUCAGCAGGCAAUCAACUGAACUUUUUACUUGUUUGUGUAGCGGAUGUACUUUUUCCUCCAGAAGAAGGAACACUGCAGACAUGCUUUGGUAAUACACUUAGGGGAGAUGAGGAUACCCAGAUGAGCCCUUUGGUCUGAGAGAUGUGACCUCUGGGAGACUGGGAGAAGGGUUAGGCAAGGGGAAAGGAGUUUGUUCAUUCCUUCUUUCUGUCGCUGACUUUCAUGUUAAUCCUUGUGCUUUUUCAUGGAUUUUUGAUUUCAGCAAAAAGUUCUCAAGAAAUUUAAGUACUGUAUUGAUAUCUACAGAGGGUACAUAAAGUAACCUUUUUGAAAAAUAACAUCUACUACAAUAUCAAUUUUUAAAAUGUUGUAAAUAAAAAGGUGUACUGCUGUGGCCGUCUGUUUAUGCUGCUCUUUGAGACUGCAAGAACCAUGUUCAUAAAGGGAAAGUCCUUUGUGUGUUUGUAUCUUAUCUGUGAUCUCUGAGGUUCUGCGUAACAAUAAAUUGAAAGGUUUCUGAUGGAAUGUAUGUGCAUGUAGAUGUUCGAGAAGAUUUUUACAGCAAGCAGCAUGGAAAGUAUCCAGGAAGUGUUACAAUAGGAUUUGAAACCCAUGUGUUGGCUGUGCUCUCUAUGGUGGUUAAUGUCAGUGUUCCACCAGUAGCCUGGUUGUCAAAGCCAUCAGACUGCUAAAUGCUCUUCCUGAGAAACCUGGAGAGAGUUAGGCGGCUUCUUUCAACACUGGUUGCUUUACUCUGUAACGGAAAUUAAUUUUGGGAUAAUAUGUAAAUGUCAUUGUGUCUUGAAGGAGCUGAAGUUCUGCAUAGCUACAGAAUGUUGGCAACUUCUUAUGCGACCUGACAGUUGUGCUCUAUUGCUGGAGAGUGAAAGGUGAACUAUUGAGUAUGCAUCCUUGUUUAGUGGGGGACUAAAACAUUUGUAGAAAUCCAGUGAGUCCUGCUUAUGUAUUUCAGUCAGUGAAUAAGCCCUUGGCUACCCUGGUGUUUGUGUGCCAGCUUGUUCUGGUUCAGUCAAAUGGGUUUAAAAACUGUCAGAUUGUAUUUCACUGCUUCCAAAAUAGCAAUUUUAUCCUCCCUCUUCAGGAAGUUUAUUUUUUUAACAUCUUGUGACUAUGCAAGAAAAUUUUUAUAGUUAGGGUCAAAUAGCCGGUCAGUCUGAACAGAGUGUUUACGUUUAGAAUGAGAUUCACUGCUUUGAGAACGAUGUACAAAAUCCAUUGCAUCAUUUGCACUGAGAAGUUCAGGUGGAUUUCAUGCAGAUGGAGGUGUGUGCACCAGUUACCUUUCAAACAGCACUCAGGGCUUUGCUGCUGAAUAGCAUUCAGCGUGUGCCAGUUGCAAUUUUCAUUGCAAUUGGGCAACGUGUCUCUGAAUUGUUAACCCCAGCCUCCCCAGGAAGAUUUAGCAGUAGAUUUUGCCAGCAUUCUGCUUCUGCUCUUACCGACCUCCUUAUAAUUGAAGGGGAAGUUAAGUAUUUUCUUCUCACUGAGAGUUUUGUGCAAACUGAGUGUUUUAUGGCUUCUUUGUGCCUCUGAAAAUUACCUCUUCAUACUUUUGUAGCUUAUAGUUCAGUAAUUUGAGCUUUUUUAAUACUGCUAAGCAAGAAGUGCAGUCUCCUGAGAGUACUUACCUGACAGCACUUUAUUCUGUUUGAAUUUAAAGGUGUACUAAUAUUUUGUCUGUGGUUAUUUGGCUUUUUUGUCUGAUGAAGUUUUGAGCAUUAGCUGUUUUCAUUACAUCUGGAGAACUUCAGCUCCAUAAUUUUGAAUUCUCAUCCUUUUAGAAUUCUAUUAGAAUAACUGGAGUAAAUGGAACAGAUAGAAAAAUAGGGGGAUAAUUACAUUGUUGUAACUAUGUCAUCAAAAGUAAAAGAUCCCCUGUAGUUGUGCUGGUUGCACAAUUAGUGGUUGUGGUCUGAAUAGUAUGGGACUAUAAAGAGAUAUGUGCACAACCUAAAAAUUGAAUUUACAAAGCAUUAGCUCUGUGGCCAUAGUAACUUACUUCACUCGGGAAGUAGGAAAGGGUCUGCAUCUUUAAUGUCUUAUGUUCUUGUUUGUCCUAUUGGGGUAAACAGCCAAAGGGGCAAGUCUGAGCAGUCUGAGAGGCAAAACAGUGGUAUGCUUUGGGAAUGAGAGAGAUGAUAUGGCCUCUUGUAGAGCAGUUCUUGGGACCUAUCCCUUGCAAUAUGGGGAAUUUCUUUCCAGAAACAUUAUGGAGCCUUUGAGCUUAGGUUUAAACAAGACUGACGUGUAUCCUCUGUGUUUUCAUACAGUAAAAGGGGAAAAGAACACUUUUUAUUAAAACUGUAUUUGGCUAGUCCUGCUGUUUUUCAUGCUAUCUUGCAUGCCUUUUAGAUCUGUUAAGAUCUUAUCUUACAUCCAAGUCACUUCUCAAUUGAUUUAGUGCUGGAUGCAUUGUGCUUAGUUUGAUCUGGAUAAGCAGAUCAAAGUAACAAAGUGCUGUGCAGUGUCAGACAGAUACAGCAGAAGAGAGAAGCGAAAGUGUAAGGCAGCGAGCUGUGAUGUGAGCGUGCUGUGGGGCUGAUGGCUGUCACAGUCUGGUGCAGGCUAAAGCUCAGUGCCUGCCUUGGUACCUGACAGGGCCCAUAGAGGAGCCCCAAGCCUUGGCACUGUGGGUACAGCGUAGAGCCCAGAGCUGCUGCCCAAGUACAUUGCUGUGGGGAGAGGUGGGGGGGACGUCUGCAGCCUUCAGGCACGUGAGCAUUGCCCUGUGCACCCCUUGACACCCCUCUGCUUUUCCUUAGAGUGGACUUUGGCUGUAGCUACUUUAACACAGUCCUGUGACAAUCUGAGGUUGGAACCAGUUGCCAGGGAAGGGGGGGAAGGAGCCUACCUCAUUAAUGAGAACAAGCCUUUGGGACUGUUCUGCUUCCCAGAGCUCUCCUGGUAAAGGACUUGGCUGUGGGAACAGCUUUGUUUGUGAUCCAGCUACGGUGGAGGUUUUGGCAGGAAGGACUACAGAGCUGUCAUCCAAGAUUUUGAUGUUUUCAGGAUGAAAACCAAGUCUGAUCUGUUCUUAAUGCUGAGGCCGUCUUUGUGAUGCAGAACACCCGCACUCAGUCUGACUGUUUUGCUGGGAAUCAUGUGUUAAGCACACACUUCUGAUUUGCUUUGGAAAGGCUAAAUUAGGGAAUUCUGAGAGCUCAUGAAAGCUUAUCAACCUAGGGAUGGCCUGCUUUUCUGUUCAGGUUAGGCUACUUUUUGUCAAAACACUGUCUAGAAAGUUGAGCUGGAAAUGCUUAUAAGGAAACACAUGGAGAUGUGUGUAGAGGCUGUACUGUUGGAGCUAAGGCUGGGCUGGCCAUUAUGCAUAAGGAAGACUCAUUUUAGGUCCCACUUUAUUUGGUCGAAGGGCAGAAAGAUGGAAAAAACGAUGAGAAACUUAUUUUCUCAGAAACCAGGCAUUUCUUUCUUCCAUGUGCUCACUUAAGGAGCCUCUUUUCCUGUGGGAGGCAUCCUACAAAAAUAAGAGCUCCUGAAGAAAAGCACUGUCUGUGCUCACAGUACUGCGAUCACAGCAAAUGACCAGUCAGGUUGCUUUGGUCUGGACUCAUGCUGUCAUGGUGACCUGUGUUGUACUUUGACUGGAUAGCUGGGAAAUAUGAAAUUAACACUGAAGGUGCUAUUUCUGGAUAAUGAUAUCUGAAAAAAAUACUGCCUUUGGAGUCAGUGGGCACUUCUGCCUUCCUGUAAGGAGUAUAGGGAAGAGAUGCCACACUGAAGUGAGUAAUAGUCAAUAGGAUAAAAACCAAACUGAUUAGGGAAAGGUGGGUGGCUGAACAGGAAGGGAGCCUGGGCCCAGGAACUGUCACAGGCCCAUGGUUAGCAUCACAAGGCAGAUGCCAAUUAAAAUGACUUUUGGAAACAUGAGUGGCAGUUGUACAGGACCUACGUUUGCUCUGCCACGGAUUCUUUGCCCUGAAUCACUUCCUGCCAUGGAAGCUGGAUGGAUUGCAGUGCAGAGGUGUGUCAGCGGGGUUGGAAGCAGCGUGCAUAACGCUGGAAACGGGAGUAGCUGUUGGGAAAUUCAAGGUGCGGCCUGUAUGUCUCAGUAGGCAGGCUGUUUAAGCUGUCAGAAAUGUUUCUUCCUGUUCAAACAGGAAGAAGUCAAAUGCUCUGAGGACAGAGCAUGUCUGUUCUGAGUGAAGCUGGGAUUUGUACAGUUGUGUUCAUCUUGUCACAGUGUUUCACUGGUAUCUACAUGUGGGGCAGGCCUUGCUCUGCAUCUCCAGUACAGCAGCGUGUGUGGCUUUCCACAGAGCCCUUCACUGGUUGAGGUGAGAAGGACCCUCUGGAGGCCAUCAGGCCCAACCUCUGCUCCAGUGGGGACACCCAGAGCAGGGUGCCCAGCACCACCUCUAAGCAGGUCUCGUGUAUCUCUGGGAAGGGGACUUCACCACCUCCCUGGGCAGCCUACAGUAAUGCUCUGUCACCUGCACAGUGAAAAAGUGUUUCCUGAUGGUCAGAGGGAACAUCCUGUCUUCCUGUUUGUGUCCUUUGCUUCUUGUCCUUUUUCUGUCCUCCCACGCACCUGUUUGCAUUUGCUGAUGCUUACAGCAGCCUUAUCCUUAGGGGAACCCAGUUUCUAGGUAUGGUUACCUGUAGAAAAAAUGACAGCAUCAACAAAAAUGUUUAAAUUGUAAUUUACAGCUUUAUCGAUGAGAGGCUUCAGAGCUGUGUUUACUUAUUAAUAAUUAUUAGGAAUGACUGUUUCUCAGCUUUUGGUAAGUGGUGCAAGGUGAUGUAACCUGUGCCAGUGCUGGGAACAUAUUGCCAAGAGACAACAUUAUCUGCUUUCAUCCUGUGAACACUUGCAGAACUCCUGAUUCUGAAUUCCCCUCAGAUGGGGAAGCCCUGAAGGUAGGAGAGGCUCUGUGUGUAUUGGGGAGCUAACUUAGCCCUGUUGGUGUCUGUUUAGAAACCUGCUUCCUGCAGCAUUUGUAGGAAACCUGAAUAUUGUUUACAGAUCAGUGGCCAGCAUUAGUUCUUCCUGUGGUUAUGUUCAUCACUCUGUGUACUUUCGCUUUGAUGAGAACUCCUCUCUGCACACAAACUUGCCCAAUUGCUGUCUUGCAUCACUUUUAAGAAGUUUUCAAUGUGAAUUUGCUACAGGUCCAAAACAGGGCUUAGUUUAGCAACCUAAUAACUAGAUUCCAGUAAGAUCCUUGCCUGUUGAACGUGACUUGGAAUUGUUCUAGCACAAUUCCUUAAAACCUUGCCCAAUGUGAUUAAUAUUUCAAAGAACUUGAGCGUGCUCCGGAAGAGGGAGGGAGAAUGAGAUUUCCUGGAUAGGCCAAUUGAUGCAGCAGAGAUAGCUGUGAGGAAGCAGUGAAGAAAAUGUUUCUAAUAAUGUGUUACUACUGCUACCGAUGGGGUUGAGCUGAAUUUAUACAAAGCAACUUUUCUUUUUGCAAAUCGCUUUUGGAGAACUGACACCAGUCUUGAAUUGGAUCGGAGGCUCUGGUUUCAUCUGUGUGCUUGGAAGCUCUUGGUUGUUGUCACCUGCGUUAGUGGGUGACAAGGGGGAUUUUUGAUCUGAUCAGUGAAGCGUCAGAACAUUUUGCUUUUAAAGAUAGCUUUCCUGACAGCCAUAUCUGAUUCUUAACACUUGCAGAAACAAGAGUUUUAUUCAGAAAAGAAGCAUGGUAACUCAUGGGUUGGAUAGAGAUUUGCCUCUGGUUGAAUUUUCUGCUGUAGUGGGCUGAGUGGAACGAUGAAUAAUUCAAGAAGAGAUGAGACAAAUGCAGACUUAGACAUCAGCUGUUAGUCUCUGUGUGCUUGUCAGUAAAUAAACAUGCCAGGAUGGCAGUUACACUGUUAACACAGUGCAUGUAACUGCCUAAGUUACAGAAAUGCUGGGGAAACCUGAAACAUGGCAGGAUUUCUGUGUCGCUUUCUAUCUGGCAUUACCUGGUAAAGCCUGACAAGAGCGUUAUCUUGCUCUAACAAUGUCAGAUCAUAGCAUAGAAUAUCCUGUUGUGACUUACUGCUCAUCUCCCUAGGGCUUGGGUGAGUAUGUCUAAAAACAAACAAAAGGACCACAUAUAAAUGCUAAAUCAAUUCAGCUCUAAGCAUUUGUGUUUGAGUUGCAUUGGUCAAUUUCCCAGUUUCUUUAAAACAAGCUAUUGUUUCAGGCUGGUUUCGCUGUACAACAGUUUGCCCAUUGUUUGCUAUUGCUCAAACAGCAGCGAGAGCAGCAACUGACCUGGAUUGUGGAGAGCGUGCAGUGUUGCUUUGAGCUGUGGAUCCCAGAACAGCCCCAGAGCCCCCUUCUCCACCCCACUUGAAGAAAGGUGGGCAAAUGCUCAAGGGAGAAGCAAUUGUCUGCUCUUCAGAUUAGAAGCAGGCAGCAAGACAGCGAGAAGUCAAUGUAGGUAAAUAAAUAAUUUUACAACCAUAUGCUUACCUUUACAAUGAUGAAAGGCAUGUUGAUAAUCUUCACUGAGCCGUUAAACCCUUCUGUUAAAUGAUUUAUGUGCGGCUUGUGAAACCGUGGCACUGCUAAUAAAAUGUUUUAUGUACUGAAAUAGCAUUUCAUUUAUCCCUGAAGAUCUUUCUGUGCUAUAUGCUGCACCUGGAGGGAUCUAGAGCAUGGCUUUAAAACUCCUGUCAGUCAUCAGUUCACCAACUGGUCGCUUCAGGUCUGCGGGAGGGGAACUGAUAGCAGUCACUUCAGACAGCGCAAAGAAUUGGAGGAAUGACUUAGAAAAAUUGUCAUCAUUUUUUAAUAAAGCAACAAAAUAAUACUCUCCAGGGUUGCACGGGUGUCUGAACUGAAUGUUUGUUUUCAGAUGAGGGCAAACUUUUUAGGGCUCAAGGGGUGCUGCUUCCCCCAGGGAAAAGCCCAAAGGGGAGAGCUCCUCUUGUGUUUGUGAUGUUUGUGCUUUAUACUGCGGUGGUGAAAUCCUCCUGAUAUCUUCUGUGAGCUAGAGGGUUUCACAGGGAGCAACCUGCUGUAGCAGCACCCCGCUGUAACAGAAAUGUUCUGGUUUUUUUAUUGGGGUGCAUGUGAAAGUUCUGUGCCCUUUCCCUACAGCAUUUGCAUUGCUGCUGCAGCAGGUCACAAAACUGCUUAGUUCACAUCUUCCUAUAAACUUCUGAGGCUGUGUUAUAGCAGCAGUCUGUUAUGCUGCAGCUUUCACCUGGCAUCAUCUUUUC